CAAUGCCUACGGGACGCAGCAGUGGGGAAUAUUGCACAAUGGGGGAAACCCUGAUGCAGCGACGCCGCGUGAGUGAAGAAGUAUUUCGGUAUGUAAAGCUCUAUCAGCAGGGAAGAAGUUGACGGUACCUGAGUAAGAAGCCCCGGCUAACUACGUGCCAGCAGCCGCGGUAAUACGUAGGGGGCAAGCGUUAUCCGGAUUUACUGGGUGUAAAGGGAGCGUAGACGGCAGUGCAAGUCUGAAGUGAAAGCCCCGGGCUUAACCCGGGAACUGCUUUGGAAACUGUACGGCUG
rnacentral:rRNA from 1 species